rnacentral:rRNA from 1 species
AUGACAAUGAUGAGGGGCACACCUGGGUAUCUGGCACCUGAAUGGCUAACGUCCCAAAUCACUGAAAAAGUUGAUGUCUACAGCUUUGGAGUUGUUGUCAUGGAAGUAAUUUGCGGAAGAAAAAAUAUUGACAUAUCUCUUCCCGAGGAGAGUGUUCAGCUCAUCAAAUUGUUACAGAAAAAGGCUGAAGAUAAUCAGUUUAUCGAUUUGAUUGACAACCAUAGUGAGGACAUGGUCUUACACCAAGAGGAAGCAGUUCAAUUGUUGAAGCUUGCAAUGUGGUGCCUGCAAAAUGAUAGCAGCAGAAGGCCUUCAAUGUCAUCAGUGGUCAAGGUACUGGGGUUCAAUGAAUAUAGAAACUAA